CAAAAAGCACCCAGAUCAAUCUCCCUAUUACUGCUGUGAACAGCCCUUACUGAAAUCUCCACCUCUGUUUUCAGAGAGCAGAAAAAAGACCUUUAGCGUGCUUGCUUUGCAGGGACACUCUAACGUGUUAAGAUAUUAAUUAUCUAACUUAUUAAUGAAUCCCACCACGAGGCUGCUGUGAGACCUCUCGCGGUAAGGAUCCGCCCAAACCGGUGUGAGCCGUUUUGGUAGUAACGGGACCGUGCAGGCGGCGAGGGCUCGGGAGCCGCGAGGAUCUCUUCGGCUGGAGCGGGAGGCUGCCGGGCUCCCGGACCCCGCUCUUCCCGGGGCCGGCGUAGGGCUGCCGCCGGGCUUCCCCGGCUGUUUGCUGUCGAUACAGCGUCGCCGCCCGGCUCCCAUCGCGUUUUCGGAGGGAGCUGCCGCUCAGGUCCUUAAGUCCUACCGCAGCCCCGGGGUGCUCUGAGCCUCCCUCUUCCUAGGGUUGUUUGUAGCGGGUGCUUCGGUUCUUCAGGCUCUCAUCGGCUGAGCGAGUGUUCCGGCAGAGCCUCUCCUCGCUCCAAAGCGGUGAGCUCGUGGAAGCGGUGAGCGUUGGGGAGUCAGCUGGUAAGAUCUCUCUUCUCGGGGUUUAUGUAGGGCUGUUGCUCGGCUACCUCUGCACCUUCGGGAUCGGCACGGCGCCGCUUCUGGGCUCCCGCGUGGCCUUUUAGAGAAGAGCCGGCACGAGGCCGCUGCCCGACGGCUCGAGACCGAGCGCGGCCCCGGGGCGGCCUCAGCCCCCGAGGAGGGUUCUACUGGUGCUCCAGCCCCCCCGUUUCCAGCGGUGGGAGCGAGCAGGAUGGGAACACUUGUUUUCUUUUUUUCUCCCCCUUCCUUCACGUGGGACUUCAGGAGCACGGUUUUGUGCCUACCGUGGAGACCUGGUGGGGCAGCUUGCAUGACCGGAAUGCUGUUGUGGAUGGCUUUGUUCCUUUUAGGAAAGACAGACCGGCCAGGUGGUGGAGUCUCUCUUCCAGUGAGAGAAUGGAAAUGUAUCGAGCUCUGCCUCGGGGUGAAUGAAGAACUAGCGGAGCGCUUGCAUGUGAGGCUCAAGAGGCAGGUAAAUGUGGGUGACAUCACUGUGGGUGGUAUCUCUACUGGCAGGAGACCUGCAGGGUUGAAUGAGGAACUCAAGAUGAACUUGAAGGGGAAAAGGAAGACUUGGGCUAAGGAAGACGAUGACCCUCUCAGUAUCACCUUUGGGAAGGGAGGUCAAGGCUAAUAGAAGUUGUGGUCGCUGCUGAGUCUGCUCCUUGGGAUCCCUGGAUUCUGGAGGAAAUAGUUUUAGAGGAAGGAUGACUUCCUCUUGAUUGUGGAGGAGCUGGUCAAAGGUCAUUUAGGCAAAGAAAGGUGCCCAAAGACUGGAGGAUAGCUGAUGUCACCUCAGCCUUCGGAAAGGGUGAGGAGGAUGGCCUGUGUGUAUGGGAACUGUUGAAUCACAGCCUGAACCUUUGAUUCCUCCACCUGAGGAGAGUGCCGAGUCAGCUGCAGGGGCACAGGUGAAUGCAAUUUCACCUGAGUGAGGGGAAGAGGUGGAGCCUGGCUCCAUCCCUCCUAGAUGCCAUUUAAGGGCUGACUCCCAAGGAGGAAGGAUCUCUGGCUGGAGAUCCUCUUGGAGCCCUUCUGUAAGCCCAGGACAUGGGUAAGAUCUUUAUUUCAUUUCUCCUUUGUAAUGUGUUAUUCUCUGUGGUCCAAUACCUGUAUACCUGUUUGUCAUACAGCUGUGCAACUGUAGGUUGGUUAGCCUCACCUCCCUUCCUGGAAUGGCAAUGUAACAACUGCUUCUGGAUGUCAUCUCCAAGCAACUGGAAGAGAAGAAAUGUCUAAGGAGCGGUCAAGGGUGAAGGCUGCAGGGAGGAUUGGCUGGAAUACGUGAGCUGCUUUUUUCCAGUGCUGGGAUGAAGGAGGUGAGAGAUGGGGACCCACCAGUGGGUCCCCUGCUAGCAGAGGGCUGCCUUCUGUGUGGUUCACAGGUCUUCCUGCAGGUUCAGGGCUGGAGUGAGGUCUGAAGGUGUGUGGCAGGUUCUCUCUUGGAGGAAUGGAACUGAUGAAGUGCUGGAGUUUGGGGUCCUGGUGCAGCUGUUGUCUGAAGGUCCUGAUCCUGGGCUGGGAGGUGCAGCGCUGGAUCUGCUGAAGGAGCAGAGGCAAGAGCUGAAUUUCUGCAUGGCAGCAUCUCUUGAAUGCAGUAGAGCUUCCCCAGCUUGAAGAUGGGUGUGCUAUCCAUAUGCCAGAGGAGUGGCAUCAACUGUCUUGUAAUAAACUUCUCAUUUCCUUUUUUAAGAUGAGCCCACUGCGACCUCUCUGGUUUCUUACUAGUUAACUCAGGAGCGUGCUUCUCAGAGAAACUCUUUGUGUUGAAUCUCAGUGAGUGAGUUACUGUGAACCUUCCUCCCAAACUGAGACUGAACUCGAGCAGAAGUGACAAUAUGUUGUACUCUGCAUGUAGCUCUUUAACAGAAGACAUGGAACUCUGGGGUUGUGCCUUUGUGUUAAAUGUUUGCAUGCAGUGUAUUGCAUCUUCAUGUGAGAGUCUGCAGUUAAUAAACUUUGCUUUUAAUUAGUUAAUGAUCCAGUUCUCCUGUGAUUGUAGCACAACAGCCAGAUAAUGCAGGAUAGAAAAUGGAGCUAGUUAACUUAAAUAUGAUACUAUUCUACUCACUUGACUUAUCUGUGUGUUAGUAGGUUUACUCAGUGCAACCAAGCGUCUGCAGGCCAUUAACCUGUUGCUCCUGGUGAUAACAGGACAUAGACAUUCCUCUGGAAAAAAUAACAAAAAUGUAUAUUAGUGACAUGACAUGAGAGGAUAUACAAACUCAG
rnacentral:lncRNA from 1 species